rnacentral:sRNA from 1 species
GCUGGGUACAGGGGCACACACCUGUAAUCCCAGCUGCUUGGGAGGCUGAGGCAGGAGGAUUGCAGGUUCAAAGCCAGCCUCAGCAAUUUAGCAAGGCCCUAAGCAACUUAGCAAGACCCUGUCUCUA